CUCUAGAGGAAACGGGGUAAAGGUGCUGCACAGUCUUUUAUGAGGCCGCAACGCUCUUGAUGGAAAGUUGUCGUCCUCUUGCCCUUUAUUCCACACUCAACCAGGAAGGAAUAGUCGCUUCCUGAAUCUCCUAGACUCUCCCAACAGCAUUACUUAAUGCCUCAACUCAUGCAUUUUAUCAGGUUUGAAGAUCCUCUUCUCCCAUUUUACUCUUAACGUUAGUUUCCUAUUGUGCCUUUCUCUCAAUUCCCAGUCUUUCAUCAUUCUCCUUCCCUCUUUCUCCACCGCCGGCCGGCUCUUUAUGGUUCUACAUCUUGUAAUCCUGCCCCUUUAUUGCUUUCUCGGUGAGCUGCUGUCAAGGAUAAGGCAAUUAGCUUAUCACCGAGACAUGAUUUAUAGAAUCUACAAGUGACACAGUCCUUGCGGUGCCACACUGAUCCUCUUUGAUUUCGGCAAAACGUCUUGCCCUCGACUGCUUUCCAGCAAGACGCCGUUAAAGACCCGAGAAAGCCCUGGGAGGUCUGAAAAUGUCCCACUCUCUGAUUUUGUGUGUGCGAGGAGGAAUAGAGGGAGAGGUCAGAUUGGUGCCAAGCUUGAUCCCGCUCACCUUAUCUCAGGUUUUUGGUAAGAGCGUUUCGCUUCUCAUGGCCGCCCUGCGUGCCGCCGCAUUAAUGAAGCAGCUCCAAACCGAGCCAUAAUCACAGAGGAACCCAUGCAGGAGAAACGUCAAAUGCAAAACUGAUCGGGGCGCAAGCGAGGGCUGGCAACUUUCCUCUCGGACAGAUCAAAGCUUCAUUUGCAUUCGGUGGAAACUCUGAUCCAAUCAGAUCUUCUGGGCUCUUAAUCAGCAGCGCUCACGCUUCGCUGAACUUUUCACAGUAACAGCUCCUCCAUCGGCUGCUUCCAGGUAUUAUAUCAGCUGAUGAGUCUCGUAUCAGAAUAUUAGCCUCGCUCAACAAUAGCUCGCUGAAGUGUUUUACACUGAAUUAAAUAUUUUAGAUUUUUGGUUAAAUAUACGUUUUGUUCUUCAAGUGCAUAUAAGCCAUUUUAAAAGCAUAUAUUCAUUAAGAAUAUGAAGAUAUAUUGAAAGAUAUAAUGAAAAAUUCAGUGUUGGGAGCAGUUGUUUUUCUUUUGCUACUUCUACUUUUUUCGUUUAUAAAACUCAUUGUUUUUAUUUAGCAAGGACAAAUACAAUAUAA